AGUUUAUUGUUUUUUAUAAUAAAUUUUUUCUGCCCGGUGAUGAGUUUAAACGGCCGCGGUAUCUUGACCGUGCAAAGGUAGCAUAAUCAUUUGUUCUUUAAUUGGGGACUUGUAUGAAGGAAAGUUUGAGGCCUUAUCUGUCUCUUUUUUGUUUUAGAAUUUUUUGUUUAUGUGAAGAAACAUAAAUAAGUAAAAAAGACAAGAAGACCCUUUUAAGCUUUAUUUUUUGUUGUUUAUAGUUUUGUUUUUGUUAAAUAAUUGACUAUAAAAUUCAAAAUUUAGUUGGGGUGACUAAAGAAGAAAAUAUCUUCUUUGUUUACUGAAACUUUUUGUUUAAUAAAGACCCAUUAGUUAUUGGUUGAAAGAAAAAGUUACUAAAGGGAUAACAGCGUAAUCUUUUCAAAAAGUUCUUAUUGAAGAAAAGGAUUGCGACCUCGAUGUUGACUUGCUUUAUCCUUUUAAGGUGCAGAAGCUAAAAGGGUUAGUCUGUUCGACUAUUAAAAUAGU
rnacentral:rRNA from 1 species